rnacentral:rRNA from 1 species
CAGCGCCACAAGUGGCAAUCAGUAUUAUUGGGCCUAAAGCGUCCGUAGCCGGUUAAGUAAAUCUUUUGUGAAAUUGUCGGGCUUAACUUGACAACGUGCAGAAGACACUGCUUGACUUGGAACCGGGAGAAGUCAGAGGUAUUUCUGGGGGAGCGGUAAAAUGCUAUAAUCCUAGGAGGACCACCUAUGGCGAAGGCAUCUGACCAGAACGGAUUCGACGGUGAGGGACGAAAGCCAGGGGAGCAAACCGGAUUAGAUACCCGAGUAGUCC